GACCUCCUCCAGUCUUGUUCAGCAGCUCUUGUAAAUAACAGCAAAGAAGAUGGUAGGAAUAAGUUGGGGCUGAGCUUUUCCAAGAGAAGAACAUCAACAAGACAAGAGGAAACAGAUAUUCAAGAGCAACAAAUCGUGUAAAAAUGAAGUGGUUAGCUCCAGUUGAUGAUGGAGAAGGAGAUUGAAGUCAGAGCAGAGGGUUUUCUUGGCAAAGAUACUGGAGUGGUUUGCCAUCCGUGCUACUCUAGUGGCCCUCAAAGGAAAUCCCAGCAAGUCCUUCCAGAGCCGUGAUGGUCAAGGCAGCUAUGAGUGUAUUUGUGGAGAGGAGGAAUGUUGGGGAAGAGGGAGCUACAAGCUGUAAAUGCUCCAGCCAAGCCAUCUUUGUAGAGUAAGCCUGCCACCUGGUGUUACCGCUCUCCAACUACAGGCCUGGGGUCCUUGCAGCUGGUUUUAGCCUAGCUCCCUCUCUGGCCUCGACUCCAAUGGAAAAACUGUGAGCUUUUUGAGGGUAACGGCUGUUUUUGUUCCUUGGUAUUCCCAGCACCAAGCCCAGUGCCUGCCACAAGGAAGAGAGAACCUUAAACCUCCAUCUCGCCAGCCCAGCAAUCACACAGAUGAUCCAAGUAUCUUUGGACAGCCUUUAAUUUAUUUCCCAGCGCACGCAGGCACUGCUGAGAGACUUGAUGGCACCAGCUUAAACAUAAUAAAUUACUCAAGUACCAGAGAUUAGUUAAUAAAGCACCAGGCUCCCUCCUGGACCCUUCUGCC
rnacentral:lncRNA from 1 species